UGGUGGUGGUGGUGGGGGUGAUGGCGACGGUGGUGGUGGUGAAUGUUCUUCACAAGGUGGUGGUGGAGGUGGAGGAGGUUCUAUACAAGGUGGUGGAGAUGGUGGUGGUGGGGACUGGACUGGUGGUGGAGGUGAGUGAACUGGAGGAGGUGGUGGUGGUGAUAAAUAGGGAUAAGGUGGGGGAGGAGAGUGAGGUGGUGGUGGCGGCGAAUGAGGUGGUGGUGGAGGCGACUGAGGUGACGGUGGAGGUGGUGAGCUAUAGUAGUAAGGUACAGGUGGUGGUGGUGAGAAUACAGGAGCCGGAGGAGGUGGUGAAUUUGGUGGUGGAGGUGGCGGAGAACUAACACAAUAUAUUGGUGAUGGUGGUGGUGGUGAUGGAGGUGGCAAAUAAACUGGAGGUGGCGGUGAUGGUGGUGGUGGUGGUGGAGAGUACACUGGAGGUGGAGGUGGUGGAGAGUACGCUGGUGGUGGCGGUGGUGGAGGUGGUGGAGAGUACGCUGGUGGUGGCGGUGGUGGAGAGUACACUGGUGGAGGUGGUGGUGGAGAGUAUACCGGUGGAGGUGGUGGUGGUGGAGAAGGUGGUGGCGGUGAUGGUGGUGGAGGAGGUGGUGAAUACACUGGAGGAGGUGGUGGCGGCGGUGAAGGUGGUGGCGGUGAAGGAGGAGGUGGCGGUGGUGAAUAAACCGGUGGCGGAGGUGGAGGUGAUGAGAAUUGUGGCGGAGGUGGAGAUAACACCGGUGGUGGAGGAGAAAGCACUGGCGAUGGUGGUGGCAAAAAUACCGGUGAAGGAGGCGGUGAAGGUAACGAAGGAACAAAAGCUUUACAUCUAAAAGAAUUACAAUCAAUAUGAUGAGACAAAAACGACUUACAUAACUUCUCCGACCGUU
rnacentral:lncRNA from 1 species